UUGAUCCUGGCUCACGACGAACGCUGGCGGCGCGCCUAACACAUGCAAGUCGAACGAGAGAUGAGGAGCUUGCUCUUCAAAUCGAGUGGCGAACGGGUGAGUAACGCGUGAGGAACCUGCCUCAAAGAGGGGGACAACAGUUGGAAACGACUGCUAAUACCGCAUAAGCCCACGGCUCGGCAUCGAGCAGAGGGAAAAGGAGCAAUCCGCUUUGAGAUGGCCUCGCGUCCGAUUAGCUGGUUGGUGAGGUAACGGCCCACCAAGGCGACGAUCGGUAGCCGGACUGAGAGGUUGAACGGCCACAUUGGGACUGAGACACGGCCCAGACUCCUACGGGAGGCAGCAGUGGGGAAUAUUGCACAAUGGGGGAAACCCUGAUGCAGCGACGCCGCGUGGAGGAAGAAGGUCUUCGGAUUGUAAACUCCUGUUGUUGAGGAAGAUAAUGACGGUACUCAACAAGGAAGUGACGGCUAACUACGUGCCAGCAGCCGCGGUAAAACGUAGGUCACAAGCGUUGUCCGGAAUUACUGGGUGUAAAGGGAGCGCAGGCGGGAGAACAAGUUGGAAGUGAAAUCCAUGGGCUCAACCCAUGAACUGCUUUCAAAACUGUUUUUCUUGAGUAGUGCAGAGGUAGGCGGAAUUCCCGGUGUAGCGGUGGAAUGCGUAGAUAUCGGGAGGAACACCAGUGGCGAAGGCGGCCUACUGGGCACCAACUGACGCUGAGGCUCGAAAGUGUGGGUAGCAAACAGGAUUAGAUACCCUGGUAGUCCACACCGUAAACGAUGAUUACUAGGUGUUGGAGGAUUGACCCCUUCAGUGCCGCAGUUAACACAAUAAGUAAUCCACCUGGGGAGUACGACCGCAAGGUUGAAACUCAAAGGAAUUGACGGGGGCCCGCACAAGCAGUGGAGUAUGUGGUUUAAUUCGACGCAACGCGAAGAACCUUACCAAGUCUUGACAUCCCUUGACGAACAUAGAAAUAUGUUUUCUCUUCGGAGCAAGGAGACAGGUGGUGCAUGGUUGUCGUCAGCUCGUGUCGUGAGAUGUUGGGUUAAGUCCCGCAACGAGCGCAACCCUUAUGGUCAGUUACUACGCAAGAGGACUCUGGCCAGACUGCCGUUGACAAAACGGAGGAAGGUGGGGAUGACGUCAAAUCAUCAUGCCCUUUAUGACUUGGGCUACACACGUACUACAAUGGCGUUAAACAAAGAGAAGCAAGACCGCGAGGUGGAGCAAAACUCAGAAACAACGUCCCAGUUCGGACUGCAGGCUGCAACUCGCCUGCACGAAGUCGGAAUUGCUAGUAAUCGUGGAUCAGCAUGCCACGGUGAAUACGUUCCNCGGGCCAUUGUACACAC
rnacentral:rRNA from 1 species